rnacentral:rRNA from 1 species
UACGUAGGGGGCAAGCGUUGUUCGGAGUUACUGGGCGUAAAGGGUGUGUAGGCGGUUAUUUAAGUUUGGUGUGAAAUCUCCCGGCUCAACCGGGAGGGUGCGCCGAAUACUGAAUGACUUGGAGUGCGGGAGAGGAAAGUGGAAUUCCUGGUGUAGCGGUGAAAUGCGUAGAUAUCAGGAGGAACACCGGUGAUGUAGACGGCUUUCUGGACCGUAACUGACGCUGAGACACGAAAGCGUGGGUAGCAAACAGG